UUUAAGUAAUUCUUAUUCUACUUGUGGCAGUGAUUUUCCUCCCCUGUUUUCCAAUUAUUUUGUAGCAGAAAACCACCUGGCAGUUUUAAGGUUUUCUCCAUCCCUAAAAUGUCUUUGUAUUACAUGCAAACAAUUACUGAGAAGUAUGAUGUUGGCUUGGUUUUAUUUUUCCUCAAAGGUGAAGCAGAUUAACUGAUUUUAAAGUUCUCUGGGUCUUUUUAUAAGUCCUUCAGAAGAAAUGCUAAGAGUUUAUAGCUGGGAUCACUUUAAUAUUAAGUAUACUCAAGUCACUCAGAAAUUUUAAGUCCAAGCAUUUUUCUUAAUGAUGUGCUAUCAGAAAGACAUUGGGAUACAUAGUUGAAGGAUGGCAACCUACAAACUUUGCUAUAUUUGAAUCAGAGGAGCAAAUCCCAGCUUUAGGAAUCUGGUUGUGGAACAGUAGUACAAUUAGAUGAGUGAUCAGCACUUUGUCACCAGGCUGGAGUGCAGUGGCGCAAUCUCCACUCACUGCAACCUCUGCCUUCCAGCUUCAAGCGAUUCUCCUGCCUCAGCCUCCCAAGUAGCUGGGAUUACAGGUGCAUGCCACCAUGCCCAGCCAUGUUUCUAUGAAUUUUCUUAUUCAACCAUACUUUUGUUAUCCAUUUUGUUCACUCAAUAAUGGAUGGAGAUUGUAGUUUUCUUUGCAGUAAUGAUUCUGUCUCUUUUUUGGUCUCAGGGUUAUAUUGACCUCAUAGAAUAAAUUGGAAAGUGUUCCCUCCUCUUUUAUUUUUUGGUUUAUAAGACAGCCUUAGCUUUCACUUCCUGCUUGUACAGACGUGAGCCACCAUGCCCGGACUAUUUUUUUUUUUUCUUCUUAAAAAACAAACACAAAAUGGAAAAUAAGUUGCUUUUCAUUGGUGGCACAGUUUUCCCCCAUUCAUUAAGUUACAUAAAUAUUUUGCCAUAUUCAUUAUAUUGCAAAUGACAUUUCCUGUUCAUAGGCUUUUGGCUUAAUAUUUAAUUAUUCAAUUUUUGACCUAGGCUAAAAUAGAAAAAAAGGCAAUAUAUGAAAGGUGUAGCAGGAGAAAUAUGUAUGUGAACAUAGCAGUAAAUUAUCUUAAGAAGCUAAGAGAUCAAGGUAAUUUAUUUUUUUCAAUUAAUCAAGUGAUAAAACCUGUAAUUAGUACCUGACCCUGAAUCAAGAAUGUAUGGCAUGAAUUCAAAUAAUAUAGAAAAACAUAAAGAGUAAAAAGCAGCCAAGACAACUCUUUCAUAUUUCUUAUUUAGACCUUUCUAUGUAUUACUACAGAGAUGUAUAUAGUUUUAAAAUUUUUAGUGAAUAUGAUAAUUUUAUAUAUACAGUAUGUCUAGCUAUUUUCACUGAAUAAGGUAUCAGAGGCCUUGUCAGUUAAUCUAGAAUCUGUACACCUUGCCAAAGCUUAUCAUUUAGCCUCUGUCAGACUGCAAUGGUGUAGAGCAAAAAUGAAGUUAGUUUUUUUUCUUUUCUUUUCGAGACACGGUGAGGCUCUGUUGCCCAGGCUGGAGUGCAGGGGUUCAAUCCUUCGCCUCCCUUUCCCAUGAAAAUAGAAAUGGUUUGCAAGUUGUUACAGUUGUGGUAAAUUAUAAUAUAAAACAUAUUGACUCAAAUUUAGACAUAAUCCAUUAUACAAAAUGUAUUAAUUUGAGCAAAUAUCAAGUCUUGACAUUUUUAAUAGUUCAGUAGAUUUAACUUUUUUCCCAACCAAAGAGUAUCUAGCAAAUUCUGUUAGAGUUUUAAAUAAGAAAAUAGAUACAAUUCUAAAAGAAUCCGUAAAAAUGAGGGGCUCUUGGUCUGGGUUAGUGAUGUUGGAAAUGGAACCUGAACUUGAACUCUUUUGCCAUGAGAGACUUGUCGUGUUUCCCUCUGUGGUCCUUGAUUAUAAGCAUUUGUUGUAUCCCUGUAGCUUCUCCUGUUACUCUGUAAUCACACUGGGUAUGUGCUUCCCACAGGAUCAAGCAUGCAAAGGCAAGUCUCCACAUUGGCUCAUUUACCUUUUCUCUCCCAUCUCAUCUGGAAUAAUCCUACUUCAUGUUUUGUUUCGGCACCUAAGAAGCUCUGUUCAUGUUCAUGACCACAAAGAAAACCUAAAGGGCUUUGUGAAGACUUUUGUCAAGUUCCCACCUGCUGAUGGUAAUCACCGUGUGUUUGCAGUAAGUCUCUUCUGGCUUGUAGGGUUUCUACAGAGAGAUCCGCUGUUAGUCUGAUCGGCUUCCGUGUAUGCAUCACAAAGUUCUCGUACUGUGCAUUUCUCAGCUCCAUCAGGUCAUUUAUGUUCUUCUCUAAACUGGUUAUUCUAGUUAGCAAUUCUGUCCCAGGGAGAUGGGGGUUUUAUCUAUAAGUCCUAACUGGGGCUGCUGCCUUUUUUUCAGAGAUGAUCUGCUGAGAGAGGAGGAAUCUAGAGAGGCAGUCUGGCCGCAGCGGCCUUGUUGAACUGCGGUUGGCUCCGCCCAGUUUGAACUUCCCAGUGGGUUUGUUUACCCCGUGAGGGGGAAACCCCAUACUCAAGCCUCAGAUUUCUCAGGAACCAUUCUAUCCUGCAUGUCCUCCAGACCAGAAAAUUUCAAAACAUUGCAUUUCCUCAUUCCUAGUAGGGACACUGUGCUAGGAUGCCCCAAAGUGGUACCUGCUGCGGGAGUUCCCCACUCCCUCCUUCUCCCGUGCAGCUUCUUGAUCAUUUCUCCUCUUCUUGUGCUCUUCUUCAUAUGCCUGUUGGUCAUACGUAUAUCUUAUUUUGUGAAAUGAUUUAUUCAGGCCCUUUCUCUAUUUUUUCAAUUAUUUGUUUUCUUACUAUUGAGUUGUUUGCAUUCCUUAUGUAAAGAGUUUGAGAAGAAUUGGUAUUAUUUCUUCCCUAAAUGUUUGAUAGAAUUCACCAGUGAAGGCAUCAGGUGCUAGGC
rnacentral:lncRNA from 1 species